UCAUGCGCUCUUUGGUUGAAGCCCUCUGUCUUUCUCCAAUCGAGUAAGAUUCGUAUUUCCCUUUUGUGGAGUCGAAUAUCCAUCCUGAAAAAAAAAAAAAAAAAAAAUCAAGUCUGCUUUUCUAGCUGUCUUCAGGAUGAUGAGUGUUUUGGAACACACACCAAUUCACGCCUUGGUCAGUCACCUGUUAUAUGCCUACAACCCGGUAUC
rnacentral:lncRNA from 1 species